rnacentral:rRNA from 1 species
AUUGAACGCUGGCGGCAUGCCUUACACAUGCGAGUCGAACGGCAGCGGGGGAGAAGCUUGCUUUUCCUGCCGGCGAGUGGCGAACGGGUGAGUAAUACAUCGGAACGUGCCCUGUAGUGGGGGAUAACUAGUCGAAAGAUUAGCUAAUACCGCAUACGACCUGAGGGUGAAAGCGGGGGACCGCAAGGCCUCAUGCUAUAGGAGCGGCCGAUGUCUGAUUAGCUAGUUGGUGGGGUAAAGGCCUACCAAGGCGACGAUCAGUAGCUGGUCUGAGAGGACGAUCAGCCAAACUGGGACUGAGACACGGCCCAGACUCCUACGGGAGGCAGCAGUGGGGAAUUUUGGACAAUGGGCGAAAGCCUGAUCCAGCAAUGCCGCGUGUGUGAAGAAGGCCUUCGGGUUGUAAAGCACUUUUGUCCGGAAAGAAAUGGCUCUGGUUAAUACCUGGGGUCGAUGACGGUACCGGAAGAAUAAGGACCGGCUAACUACGUGCCAGCAGCCGCCGUAA